UGGUGCUGUUCUGUGGAGACUGGAUUGUCAGUGACGGACAAGAGCCUGAUCAGAGUCCGUCUCGCUGCCACAGAUGUCAGGCUGUCCAACUCUGUGCCCACAACAGAAGCUUGCCUUCUGCCAGUUUCUCCAGGACAGGGUGGAUGAAGUAAAUUAACCUCUCGCAGCCAGCACCACGCCACUUUGCCCUGACGGGAGACCUGGCGCUGCAGCAACAACAGAGACAGCCAGCCUUCCACCUCUGCUCAGCUACAGCCUGACGGUGAACAGCAACAACCUUGCAGCCCAUGGGCACCGCCACAGAACGCAGGGAGCGUACAUUCGCGAGGUGGAUCGACGGGAACGACAAUCUGUAUCCUCUCUUGCGGAGUUUCACCUGGAUGCCGGCUCGCUUCCCUCUGUGGCGUUGGAUCAGUUUCCAUGCGCCUAGGACCGCUGUCGCUGCUCCGGUGAGUAACUCGGGGGGGAAAAAACUGAGCGGAUUUGCGAAAGUUGGUGAAAGAAAGUACGGAGUAGCCUCCUUGAUGGUUAGCAAAUCUCCCCUUGUGCAAGUGAGUCGUGUAAUGUUGCCAAAGAUGAACGAAAAACACAAAAACAAUACUAGAGAGCG